ensembl:lncRNA
CACCAGUUCCUCCUCCUCCUCUGAACACAGAAUCUCCAGGCCUCAUGCCCCCAGCACACAGACAGUGAGAGCCAGGUAACCUAUCUUUCUUCCCCCAUCAGGCUCUGUGACAAAGAAAUAGAACUGCUUUCCGAGGAUAAGCGCCAUCUAGAUCAGAACUAAAUCCUCCUGUGAUCGGUUUGGGGCUGAUUUCCGUGCAAAUCGGAAAUGCCUGCCAACACUUACAGCAUCCCCAGGAGCCAGGAUGUUCACACGUCGGCGCGUCUCAUCCCCAUAGCAACCUGCUCACAUGGGGACGAUUACUCUCUCCACUCCCCAGAGAGGGGCGGCUGGGAUCCGAGCAGGACUCUCCUGAGAAGGAACUUGCCAAGAGAACUGAGAAGGAACUAUCCAAGAGAACUGGGCAGAGGCUUGGGCUUGUUGGGACACAGCCUCGGAAUCACACAGCAUUCCUGCUGCCGCAGUUGUAGCGUAAGCGUUCUAGUUUCGCCAUCAGGGAUCAAACUCCGGCCCCCUGCCUUGGGAGAGCGAAGCCUUAACCACCGGACCACUAGGAAGUCCGAGCACUGGUGGUUUCUUCAGGGUUCCUGAGUCUGAGAACACCUGUGUUAGACGAAGGCCUUUGUGAUCACUGGGCUAGACGACCUUCCCUCUCCAGAAACCCACUGCACCUGGUCUUAGUGGUGGCACUUGGAAUCUUUCAGUUUCGUUGCAGCAUGCGGGUUCUUUCGUUGCAGCAUGCGGGAUCUCGCUCCCUGACAGAGGAUGGAACCCGGGCCCCCUGCAUUGGGAGCAGUGUCUCAGCAGAGUCUUAGCCACUGGACUACCAGGGA